rnacentral:misc_RNA from 1 species
AAAAUAGGGCACUUAUGCGCUAUACACCACUGUAAACAUACACUGUCUCGUUGCCUCGGCGGGCGGCUCCCGGGGGAGCCCUCCUGGCCAUCGCGGUGCUCGCCGGCAGCGACCCUUCUCUACUCUGAACGUCUCCUCUGAGUGGCACGCUGAAAAGCAAAAAUUAUCA